AACUCGGCCAUUUAGAGGAAGUACAAGUCGUAACAAGGUUUCCGUAGGUGAACCUGCGGAAGGAUCAUAGUUAUGGAGAGGUCAGCCUUCACAGGCCCCUCGUCACCCUCUGGUUGCAAUGCGCUGGCGCGCUAGUCUUGGCCUUUUGGCCUCGACAAACCAUUUGUAACUCAUGCCAUGCUUACUUGACAAUGAAAAGUAAAUUACAACCAGUAGCGUUGGAUCCCUUGGCACGUCAUUCGAUGAAGACCGUUGCAAAAUGCGAUAAGUGGUGUGAUAUGCAAGUCCAAAACUUAUACGUGAACCAUCGAAUUGUUGAACGCACUGCAUCGUCCUUACCCAGGAACGAUACGCCCCAUUGAGCGUCAUUAUCUCUUCGUGACCUGUCAUUCAUUUUGACUCGUCCGGGUUCGGGAUCCAUGGCUCAGCCACGUCUCCUCAGAUUUAUGCGUGUGCCCGAGUGCGGCAGCGACCUUGUCAUGAGUGUCAGGGCGGGCUGGCUUGCUCGGAGUGCAGGAUCCUCCCUUGCGGACGGAUCAAAAAUGCGCCCGCGUCCACUGCGGGAGCAACCUUCACAUGACCUCACGGGGGCGGGACGACCCGCUAGACUUAAGCAUAUUAAUCAGCGGAGGAAAAGAAACUAACAAGGAUUCCCCUAGUAAC
rnacentral:rRNA from 1 species